rnacentral:rRNA from 1 species
UACAGGGGGUGCAAACGUUGCUCGGAAUUAUUGGGCGUAAAGCGCGCGUAGGCGGCUACCUAAGUCGGAUGUGAAAGCCCCUGGCUUAACCGGGGAAGUGCACCCGAAACUGGGUAGCUAGAGUGCAAAAGAGGGUCGCGGAAUUCCCGGUGUAGAGGUGAAAUUCGUAGAUAUCAGGUGGAACACCAGUGGCGAAGGCGGCUUUCUGGACGGUAACUGACGCUGAGACGCGAAAGCGUGGGGAGCAAACAGG